CGGUGAAGCCCAGCUUGCUGGGUGGAUCAGUGGCGAACGGGUGAGUAACACGUGAGCAACCUGCCCUCCACUUCGGGAUAAGCCUUGGAAACGGGGUCUAAUACCGGAUAUGAGCUCGCAUCGCAUGGUGUGGGUUGGAAAGUUUUUCGGUGGGGGAUGGGCUCGCGGCCUAUCAGCUUGUUGGUGGGGUGAUGGCCUACCAAGGCGUCGACGGGUAGCCGGCCUGAGAGGGCGACCGGCCACACUGGGACUGAGACACGGCCCAGACUCCUACGGGAGGCAGCAGUGGGGAAUAUUGCACAAUGGGCGCAAGCCUGAUGCAGCGACGCCGCGUGAGGGAUGACGGCCUUCGGGUUGUAAACCUCUUUCAGCAGGGAAGAAGCGCAAGUGACGGUACCUGCAGAAGAAGCGCCGGCUAACUACGUGCCAGCAGCCGCGGUAAUACGUAGGGCGCAAGCGUUGUCCGGAAUUAUUGGGCGUAAAGAGCUCGUAGGCGGUCUGUCGCGUCUGGUGUGAAAUCCCGAGGCUCAACCUCGGGCUUGCAUCGGGUACGGGCAGACUAGAGUGCGGUAGGGGAGACUGGAAUUCCUGGUGUAGCGGUGGAAUGCGCAGAUAUCAGGAGGAACACCGAUGGCGAAGGCAGGUCUCUGGGCCGCAACUGACGCUGAGGAGCGAAAGCAUGGGGAGCGAACAGGAUUAGAUACCCUGGUAGUCCAUGCCGUAAACGUUGGGCACUAGGUGUGGGGCUCAUUCCACGAGUUCCGUGCCGCAGCUAACGCAUUAAGUGCCCCGCCUGGGGAGUACGGCCGCAAGGCUAAAACUCAAAGGAAUUGACGGGGGCCCGCACAAGCGGCGGAGCAUGCGGAUUAAUUCGAUGCAACGCGAAGAACCUUACCAAGGCUUGACAUGUACGAGAAAGCCCCCGAGACGGGGUUCUCUUUGGACACUCGUACACAGGUGGUGCAUGGUUGUCGUCAGCUCGUGUCGUGAGAUGUUGGGUUAAGUCCCGCAACGAGCGCGACCCUCGUCCUAUGUUGCCAGCGGGUUAUGCCGGGGACUCAUGGGAGACUGCCGGGGUCAACUCGGAGGAAGGUGGGGAUGACGUCAAAUCAUCAUGCCCCUUAUGUCUUGGGCUUCACGCAUGCUACAAUGGCCGGUACAGAGGGCUGCGAUACCGUAAGGUGGAGCGAAUCCCAAAAAGCCGGUCUCAGUUCGGAUUGGGGUCUGCAACUCGACCCCAUGAAGUCGGAG
rnacentral:rRNA from 1 species